rnacentral:snRNA from 1 species
UUGCUUUAGCAGCACAUAUACUAAAAUUGGAACAAUAGAGAGAUUAAUGUGGUCUCUGCAGAAGGAUGACAUGUAAAUUCGAGAAGCAUUCCAAAUUAUU